rnacentral:rRNA from 1 species
UACGUAGGGUGCGAGCGUUGUCCGGAAUUAUUGGCGUAAAGAGCUCGUAGGCGGUCUGUCGCGUCUGCUGUGAAAACUCGGGGCUUAACCCCGGGCCUGCAGUGGGUACGGGCAGACUAGAGUGCGGUAGGGGAGACUGGAAUUCCUGGUGUAGCGGUGAAAUGCGCAGAUAUCAGGAGGAACACCGGUGGCGAAGGCGGGUCUCUGGGCCGUAACUGACGCUGAGGAGCGAAAGCAUGGGGGAGCGAACAGG